GGCGGCGUAGCUCAGCCGGAUAGAGCUCUCGUUUUCUACAUACUUCAUGGUUCGCGCCUCUAGUAUGGACGAGAAGGUCGCGGGUUCAAGUCCCGCCGCCGCCU
rnacentral:tRNA from 1 species